CGUGUAGGCGGCCAUGCAAGUCGGGUGUGAAAGCCCUCGGCUUAACCGAGGAAGUGCGCCCGAAACUACAUGGCUUGAGUACCGGAGAGGGUGGCGGAAUUCCCGGUGUAGAGGUGAAAUUCGUAGAUAUCGGGAGGAACACCAGCGGCGAAGGCGGCCACCUGGACGGAUACUGACGCUGAGACGCGAAAGCGUGGGGAGCAAACAG
rnacentral:rRNA from 1 species